GAUGAAGUCACUGAGAACUGCCAUGGCCUACCUGCUGAACAGCUUUCCUUACAUUGACCAGAUUUGAAGGUGGCCUCUCCAGGAGUGUCUCCUGUGACACAGUAGAAACCUUUACAUGCUACAUCUCUCUAAAGGACCAUUUUCUUCUUGACAAAAAGAAUAAGGCUAUGAGCUCUCAGCAAAACAACUGUGCCCUGUCCAUCACUUGGUUUGGGAAUAAAAAAAAUAAUGAUAUAAA